GAUGCACGUUAGCUCCAGGCUUAACACAUGCAAGUCGAGGGACCGGCGCACGGGUGAGUAAUACGUAUCCACCCUGCCCUUUACUCGGUGUUAGCCUUUCGAAAGAAAGAUCAAUACCCGAUAUAAAGGAUGGGGAUGCGUUCCAUUAGGUUGUUGGUGAGGUAACGGCUCACCAAGCCUUCGAUGGAUAGGGGUUCUGAGAGGAAGGUCCCCCACAUUGGAACUGAGACACGGUCCAAACUCCUACGGGAGGCAGAAGUGAGGAAUAUUGGGCAAUGGGCGCUAGCCUGAGCCAGCCAAGUAGAGUGAAGGAUGGAGGCUUAUGGGUCGUAAACUUCUUUUAAAUAGGAAUAAGUAUUAUAUGAGUAAGGAUAGGCUAGCUCCGUGCCAGCAGCCGCGGUAAUAC
rnacentral:rRNA from 1 species